CGGGGCUUGAGCAACGUCCCUGUCCCUGUCCACAGUGCGUCCGCUGUCCGCUGCCGCUGUUUUCAUUUUUCACACAAACCCUAAAUAUGGAAGGCCCGUCCUGCUGCAGUGACUGUACCUGUUUGCACUCCUGCCGGCCGCGUGUGAACCUCCUCACCGUCCGCACCACUCCCGACGCUUGGUACCGUCCGUCUUCAUUUCAGCCAUGCUGGUGGGUUGGGUUCCCGUGAUUUGAAUCACCCGACCCUGCCCCUCCUGGCCAUUUGGUUAGCGCCGUGGUUGCAUCUUUUGGUCGACACAAGCAUGGAAACUCAGAGUGUGAACAUGACCUCCUACGUCAAGGGGAC